UACAUACUCCUUCCGUUUCAAAAUUAUUGUCUUAGAUUUAUCUAGGUAUAAAUGUAUCUAGUCACAUUUUAGUAUUUAAACACAUCCUUUUCUAGACAAAUUUAAGACAAAAAUUUUAGGACAGAGGGAGUACCAA
rfam:Hordeum vulgare subsp. vulgare, WGS project CAJW01000000 data, contig: morex_contig_97620